GGGGUUGUGGCUCAGUGGUAGAGCGCUCGCCUAGCAUGCGCGAGGCACUGGGUUCACCCCUCAGUACCA
rnacentral:tRNA from 1 species